GACGAACGCUGGCGGCGUGCUUAACACAUGCAAGUCGAACGCUGAAGCUCAGCUUUUGUUGGGUGGAUGAGUGGCGAACGGGUGAGUAACACGUGAGUAACCUGCCCCCUUCUUUGGGAUAACGCCCGGAAACGGGUGCUAAUACUGGAUAUUCACUGGUCUUCGCAUGGGGGUUGGUGGAAAGGGUUUUUCUGGUGGGGGAUGGGCUCGCGGCCUAUCAGCUUGUUGGUGGGGUGAUGGCCUACCAAGGCUUUGACGGGUAGCCGGCUUGAGAGGGUGACCGGUCACAUUGGGACUGAGAUACGGCCCAGACUCCUACGGGAGGCAGCAGUGGGGAAUAUUGCACAAUGGGCGCAAGCCUGAUGCAGCGACGCCGCGUGAGGGAUGGAGGCCUUCGGGUUGUGAACCUCCUUCGCUCAUGGUCAAGCCGCAACAAUGGUUGUGGUGAGGGUAGUGGGUAAAGAAGCGCCGGCUAACUACGUG
rnacentral:rRNA from 1 species